rnacentral:rRNA from 1 species
UACAGAGGUCUCAAGCGUUGUUCGGAAUUACUGGGCGUAAAGAGCUCGUAGGCGGCUUGUCGCGUCGGACGUGAAAGCUCGGGGCUUAACCCUGGAGUCUGCGUUCGAUACGGGCAGGGCUAGAGGCAGGUAGGGGAGAACGGGAAUUCCCGGUGUAGCGGUGAAAUGACGCAGAUAUCGGGAGGAACACCGGUGGCGAAGGCGGUUCUCUGGGCCUGUACUGACGCUGAGGAGCGAAAGCGUGGGGAGCGAACAGG